rnacentral:lncRNA from 1 species
CAGCAGCCCCCGGACCCGAGGCCUUGCACGUGCGGGCUCAAGUCUCUCAGCCGUCGCCGCCACCGCUCCCCGCCGCAAACUGAGGUGAGCAUCGUGUUCCUCACCUACCCCGCACCCAUCCCUGGCCGCCGCGCGUGCCUUCGUGCCGCCGGAAGUCGGCCGGAGCGAGCUUGCUCCGGCCAAGCCCGAAAUAGGGCUUAGUUUGGAUGGUUUACUGUUCCGAGCAACCCGAGCCUCCCCGAUCUCUGCAGAAGAGAGCACCAUGAUCGUAGCAAAUUGCUGAUCAUCGUGCUCACUUUAGUUUUUGUCGGGGAGACUCCGUUCCUCUGUUUCGGCGGUGUCGACCUUGUCGAGCCUUUUUGGCUGCUGUUUUGGGUUUGCGCACGCUUAUCCGGAGAUCCGAGGCUAUUCUAAUGCCUCCGGAGGUGAGCACGGUGAUCGUUGGUCAGUUCUGAUCACAGUGCUCACCUUACUUUGGAUCAGCGGAUGUCGUAUCGGCCUGUUCGGCGCGAUUUUCCCCGACUGCGUGUUGUUCGCUGAACCUUCGGGUUGCUCCCGCGCUUCCCACAGUGAGCUAUUGUGCUCCAGAUCAUGAGCACGGUCUCCGGUGCGUCGAGACCUGUCAGUACGUGUCACGGCGGACCUUGGAAGUCCUCAGUUUGCGUGAACGAGCCAUGUUAUCGCCCGAUUUACAUAAAAAUUAGGAUUUUAUGUAAAUAUAGGGGCUUUUGUGCAGUUGUGCGCCUUGUGGCUACUGUGGGCAGUGUAUAGGUGUGAGUGGUGACCUCUGGACUGAUUGUCCAUGAUCCGUUAGCUUUUGCAGAAAUCGAAGAGUUGAUUUCGAUGCGUUUUGCGGCGAAAUUCGCCGAAAGAAUGCGGUUUCGGUUCGGAUUUCUUCCGACGUCGUUUGGUUGCUCUGCGAGUAGUCGCUAAGCCUUGUUGGCUGGUCACCAUCACCACAUUGUGGGUUCGGUGAUGACAGGUGAGUGACGGUGGGUUCCGGUUUGACACUUUCGGGAACCCAUGUUCGUAUAAUUAUCCGGCGAUAAUUGUGUAGUGGUGUUAUCUUGUGUUUGCUGCCAAAACAUCCAAAUUGGAGUGUUUUGGGGCAGCAGGUGACUCGUGACACGAGUUGGUGAGUUUCGGGACACUUAGUGGGUCCCGACGGCCCGACGGCGUCCGGUGUGGUUUUCGAGACUUCCGACGAGUUACGGUAAUCGGUAUUGGGAAACUGAUCUUCGUGAAAUUAUUUGUGGGGUUGUGGAUACUGUGGUUAUUAGUUGUGGGUUAGAUACUAACCCGAUGGACCCUCUAUAGGUCCUGUCGACAUUCUUUUGCAGUCAGGAAACAGACGCGACAUCCUUACAGGUGGGUCCUUUGAUCCGACGUCGGUAUAGUGGUGCACGCUUGGUGAUGGUUUCUUACCCUUACUUUUCUGUUGUUACUAUCGCAUAGUAUAUUGAGCCUUGCACCCUUGUUUAUUCGUUAUACACUACUCGUUGUUUGCAUGCUUAGUAUCCCGAGUAGGAGUAGAGCAGUUCUAUCUAUAUGCAUAUCUGUUGACCUAGUUGGUCUGUUGUUGCAUUCCGUAUCUUUUGACCUAGUUGGUCUGUUGUUGCAUUCAGUAUCUUUUGACUUAGUUGGUCGGUUGUUGCAUUCCGUAUCUAUUGAUCUAGUUGGUUGGUUGUUGCAUUCCGUAUCUGUUGACCAGGUUGGUCGAUUCUCGUACUUCGUAUUGUUGACCCGGUUGGUGGUUUCUUGUACUUCGUAUCAGUGACCUGGUUGGUCGGUUCCUUGACUUCUGUCGUUCGAUGACCGUUACGGUCGAUGUACCCUAGAGGGGUUGGAUUGUUGGCUAAUGGCUGAUGGUAGUUCUGAAUUCUAUUGAUACACCUUGAUGACCCAUUCGUCGAUUCGUUGUGCAUAUAUCCUAGUUGACCUGAGUGGUCAGUCCUUGUGGUUCAUUGAGUAGUAUUUGCAUAUGUUUGAGAGGAUGAUGAUGUUGUCCCAUCCUAGUUGACCUAAGUGGUCAGUUCUUGUGCUUCCUUACAGUUGAUAACCUAUACGGUCGAUGAGCCCUGUAGGCAGGAUUGUCGGCUAGUUGCCGGCGUUUGGCCUUUGAGCAUAUCAGUAUUGACCACCCGAUACUCGUUCGCAUUUCACGAUCACCAGCGGUCUGAUCCACCGCAAGAGGGUGUUCUUUUUCGAAAAACUGGUGGCUUGUGUCAACCCGUGAGCCCCAGAGGAGUUAUAUGCUUUCAGCCUGAGGUGUUGGGUACCGAUAUGGCUUGUUUCUGGCAGAGUAGAUAUGGCAUAGGCCUGAGGUGUUGCGUACCAAUACGGCCAUUACAGAUUGGGUAUUUUGGACUUAUCGUCUAGUUGACGCAUAUAACUAUAGUAGCGGUUGUCGCUUGUAUACCUUCAGUUCUUUCGUUACAUUGUCUUGCUACUAUAGCCUUAUUACAUGUAUAUAUUCAGUUGUUCAUUACAGUAGCGGUAGUUGUACUUUCUUUCAUAUAUAUGUCUCAUUCAUUCAUUAUUAUUGCUACUGUAUUUUCUACUGACCCGUACUGUUGUUUAGCUCUUCCUGAUCCGGUGAGUACUCCUCGCCUUCAUCGGCUUGCGGUACCCACUGGGAGGGGAGACAUGUUUACAUGUUCUGACCUCCUCCACUAUUUUUCAGGUAUCGCAGACGGUGAGAGUAGAGACGAGACGUGAGACACGUUCGUAGUGGUCGCUAGAGCUUCCGACCCGGCUUGUUGGUUUAGUUCCUACCCUGUUUACUUGUGUUAUUAAUAGCUUUGAUAUUUCAUGGUUCAGUUGGUUUAUGUUAUUCUAAUUCAUGUGGUUUUGAAUGAACUAUAGAACUUGUGGAUUUUGUGAAAAGGAAAAAAUAGUUUCUACCCCUCGUGGUAGCGUUUUAAAAAGAAAAGAGUUUUCGUGUGGGAAACAACUUUCAAAGGUUUCUUUUGUAGUUUUCAUAACUUAGUAUUUCAAAACCCGUUUCUGAGUUGGAAACGUUUUAACUAAUUUAUAGUUGUGAUUUUAUGUUCAAAUCAUGAAUGUGAACCUGUGCUCAAUGGUGUGUGGAUAUGUAUAGAUGUUGGAUGUCUGUAUGUUCAGUGUAGUGGUUGUAUCCUGGUUAUACUCUUGUACUUGUGCGACGCCGUGCAAAUACAGGGGAGACUCUGUCCGUGUGAACAGUGGAUUUCCUGUAUUUGUGGCGUAUCUGGCAUACCCUGGGGUCAGGUUUUCAAAAAAAAAAAUUUCUGCUGUGUUUCAAACUAAAUGCCACCUCAGGGCGUGACAGAUUAAAGUGGUAUCAGAGCCAAGUUACAACCACAACACCAUUCACAGGUUGUUUUGAAAAGUAAAUGAACUGAACCAUUGGUUAGGUUGACCCAUAGGAAGACCUAUGGUAUAUAGGCACGUGAGUGCGGGGUUUGGACUUGUGUCCGGGGUUGCAUUCGAGUUGGGUAAACUCGGAGUGCAUGGUUAAUUCCGUAUAUGCUACGGUUUUCGCACAAGCUAGCUAGUGUCUUAGUCGGGAGUAGUGGCGGUGCUUCUUUUUGGACAUUGAGUGGUGGGGCGGUGUUCCCCAGGGGUUUCCACUCCUGUCAGGUGGGGCCUUGAAGGGCCAGGUGAUUUUCGGGCCUAGGCGAGUGUCUUAACUGCCGACGCCCGGGCCGCUCUUCCUACUUAAGACAUGAGAGCUGUUGCGAGUGUCUCUACGGAGACGGCACUUAGACUAGUUACGGUCGCGACUUUAGUAGGGCUACUAGAGUGUAGCCCAGGGUUUGGAUAGCGGUCGUUUCGGCGACUGCAUUGUUAGUGUUGCUUCCGCAGAUCUUUGGGUAGGGUUGCGAUGCCUACCUCUCUUCCUUGAUUGCUGAUGAAAUCAGCGGUUUGGGGCCUCUAUCUGGGUAAUUUGCCGAUUAGAGUCACCAGUGGCUUGUGGAUGUUGAAAGUUAUAGUACUCCCUGUGAGUCGGUUCAGGGUCGUUCUAAUUUCGAAUGUCGACUUGUAAAGUCGAUGUUUCGUUAGUAAUGGUUGUAAGCUUCUGGUUCAGUGGAGAGGUAUCAAGUGGCUUGAUACUUUAUCGCGUUGUGCUUCCAACUUGUUGUUGGUAGUGGAUCUUCGGAUAUUUUGCUUUUCUUUUGAUAAGUAUAUUGGCUGCAAACAAUAUACUGUCGAAAGAUGGACGAAAUACUAUCUUUCCAUUUGAGACUUAUGGAUUGGGUCGAUGUGUUCUCUAGACUGUCUUGUGGGAAAAGCUAGAGUGAUGGUCAUCUCUGACCAUGUGGCGAGCCUUGGAUUAUUCCCUGACAGGUUUUGCGCAAUUGAUUUAUCGUCACUUCUGAUGGUAUUGACUUUGGUUCGAGGCUAGGUGAUCGUUGGUCCUAUUGUUGCGCCUUCCAUAGUUAAAGAGUUUCUUGGUUAGUAGUCUCGGUUUGUUGUCGUGAGGUUUAGAAUCAGUGGUUGAGUGACUUGAGCUUGGUUGUUGACUUUGUUUGUCACUAUAUGUGAUAGCAUGAAAUGUUUGCGACUUGGCUUAUCGUGCAAACCUUGGGUUGGCUUGCUUGUCCGGUUAUUUGGUGACAAGUGCACCUUGGUUUCAAUGAGACAGGUAUUUAGGUGUUGCUCGGAACAUCGAUCUCUAGGGUCCCUUGUAGGACGGCAGCGACAGGGUCUCGAGGAGGCAGGUGUUGAGCAUCACUGAUGGUUAGUAUUGCAUUUGCGAUUAGCGACCUGUGCAUCAAGUGAUGGACUUGCAAAGAGCAUUUGGUGGUCUGUUGGUACCGGAUUAAGUUUGAGGGGACAAAAUUGUUUAGCUCAGUUGGUAUUGUCAGUUGGAUCUUUUGGUCAGGUGGAAAAUGAGGUCUUGGACCUAGGACUAUAGAUUGUCACAUGUGACUUUCCGUUAAUGGAGGUUUGACUUUGGCUGUUUGUGUUUGUGUGAUAACUGGUGGGAGAUUGUGGUCUUCGAGGUGAGUGUUAUCGACUCGUGUUUCUUCAACGUGAGCUAGCGACGUAGUCGAGUCGGUUACGGCUACACGGACCAAGAUAAAGUGGAUUUAGUGUUUCUGGGUGAUGAACUGUUAUCUCAGAAUUUGCAAAUUGGGAUCGAAUAAUCCUAGUCGCGGUACUGUUUUUUUGUCCGCAAGUCAUAGGAUUGUGUUGAUUCCGGUGAGUUUUGGUUCGUGGAUUUUGGGUUGGUAUGUUUCCUUGACUUGUCCGAGUAGAAACGUAGUCCUUGGUGUCUCCCCUUCUUCGGAGGUUGAGCUGUCCAAAUGAAUGGUGAUUGACCAAUUCUUAAAGGUGAUAUCGCAUUGGUGGAUCAAUGUUUGAAUCCGAUUACGGUAGAUACGUGGUCAAGUUUCGGGGACGAAACUUCUUUUAAGGGGGGGAUAAUAUAAGGACUGAGAUUUUGACAGUGCAACUAAACUCUCUGUUGACGAUGUUUAUGUGUGUAAUUUCAUUACACAAGCGGUUGUCAAGUUUCAGGAGAAAACGAGUUAGAACGGAGAAGUUACGCGAUUUUUAAUUUUCACUUAAGUGAAUAGUAACUCCGGUUUUUCGGAGAAGCCACGGAGUAGAGUUGGCUUCUGGUGCGUAUCGGACUCCGUUCAUAGCGAUUCAAUAGCUCGUUUUGAUCAGUUCAGCUAUUCUGGAACUAAUGGCGCUGACGGAUUUUAAGUUUGACGCACGAAUUUUGAGAAAAUCUAAAAAUACAUGUUUUAUAUGUAUUUGUGCGUAGUUCUUCUUUUGGAGAGUUGGAACGGUUCUCGUCGCGAAUCCGUGACCGAUCGAGAUGAACCAAAAUGGUAGCUUUGUUGUCUCCAUGGUUCUGAUCGCACUGGUGCAAUCCGUUCGCAAAUCUGACGGACGGAUCUGCGAAGAUCGCACGUUGAUCGAGGAGAGGUCGGCGAUGGCAAAACGGUAAUUUCGCAAAAGUCGCGACAUUUUAUGUACUAUUUUACGCGAGAUUGCAUGUGGAGGGGUAUUCGUGCAUUUUAUUCAAGCUGUGAGGGACUCGGAACGAAAUAUCGAGUUUGGAGGGACUUUUGCGCGAUUUAUCGCCUAACGUAUUUAAAGGCUUCUAGGGUUUUCCAGGAAACCCUAACCCUUGGUCCCCUCCUCUUCCUUAACAGCCUUCUUCACGUUCCCCUGCUCUCCCCGCGCGCGCCCCGGCCGCCUGAGCAUGCCGCCGGCUCCCGGAGCUGGCUGCUCCUCCACCUCCUCCAUUGUUCCUUGCUUCACCACCCUUCACCCCCCACUUGUGCUACUACCAGGGUGAACCCUUACCCUCGGGCUCCACCUCUGACAGCAGGCCCAACCUCGGCGACCAUCUCCGUCGGACGCCGCCACCACCGAGCGCCGCCGCCGCCGCCUUGGCAAUCCUGCGGCCAAGCUCGGGCAGAUCCGGUCGAGGUGGUUAGAUCUCUCUCUCUCGCGCCGCCGCCGCCUAGGGUCGGCCGCGACGCCCUCCCCCGACCUCCGGCACCCCCUCCCCCGGCCGGAAGGGUCGCCGCCGCCGCCACACGCCUUGGGCGCCGCCGCCCAGGGCUGCAGACCGAGUCAAGCUCGGCGCGGUUGUGCCCGAGCCGCGGGCUGCCGCUGCCGUCGCCCGCCGCCUCCUCCUCCCCCUGCGGCCUCUGGGGACCCGCUGCCGACGCCCCCGACCUGCCCCAGCCGCCGCCGUGGCUGCAGCAGCCCCCGGACCCGAGGCCUUGCACGUGCGGGCUCAAGUCUCUCAGCCGUCGCCGCCACCGCUCCCCGCCGCAAACUGAGGUGAGCAUCGUGUUCCUCACCUACCCCGCACCCAUCCCUGGCCGCCGCGCGUGCCUUCGUGCCGCCGGAAGUCGGCCGGAGCGAGCUUGCUCCGGCCAAGCCCGAAAUAGGGCUUAGUUUGGAUGGUUUACUGUUCCGAGCAACCCGAGCCUCC